GUUUGAUCCUGGCUCAGAUUGAACGCUGGCGGCAUGCCUUACACAUGCAAGUCGAACGGCAGCAUGGGUGCUUGCACCUGAUGGCGAGUGGCGAACGGGUGAGUAAUGCAUCGGAACGUACCCGGAAGUGGGGGAUAACGUAGCGAAAGUUACGCUAAUACCGCAUAUUCUGUGAGCAGGAAAGCGGGGGAUCGCAAGACCUCGCGCUUCCGGAGCGGCCGAUGUCGGAUUAGCUAGUUGGCGGGGUAAAAGGCCCACCAAGGCAACGAUCCGUAGCGGGUCUGAGAGGAUGAUCCGCCACACUGGGACUGAGACACGGCCCAGACUCCUACGGGAGGCAGCAGUGGGGAAUUUUGGGACAAUGGGGGCAACCCUGAUCCAGCCAUGCCGCGUGAGUGAAGAAGGCCUCGGUGUAAG
rnacentral:rRNA from 1 species